AACAUGCUUCCUUAGAUCCACCUUUGUGGAUGAAUCUUGAACUGAGUUCUGCUUGUAAACAUCUUGUUUCUUGUAGUUCCAGUCAAAGAAACAUCCAGCAACUUUUUUGGUUGUACAGUCGAAGGUGCUUGAGUCAUUGGCAUGUGAGAGCAGUAUACCUGCAUGGUAGUCUAAAGUUCUGAUAGAAGUGACACGCAGUUAUGCAGUCACUUUUUACUAUCAGGAUUCGACUGGUGUGCGGACACU
rnacentral:snoRNA from 1 species